UCAGCUCUUUUAAUUGUCAAAACUAAACACUCUUCGUUGUUCGCCACUAAUUCUUAUCCGUUUUAUUUUUUAUUUAUCUCAUCUCUCUUAUCCCUCGAAUCUUGUUUCUUUUUUUCUUUGUUUUUAAAACUAUUUAUUGCGACAUUUUUUCAGUUGGUUUCUAAAAUAUGUAAAUUUAUUUGCUUUUUGACAUUUUGAAAAAUUUUCUUUCAUUUUCUGGGAAUGAUUUUUGGUUGAAGUAAUUUUUAAUUAUUUAAGUCUCUUUCAAUGUUAGGGGUUCAUGUUAUUUUUAAGAUUUUUUUUUUCUCUCUUUGAUGGUUGAAUUGUAUUUUUUUAAAGGUUGAUCGUGUCAACAAUGAGCGUUGACUUUGUUUGUGGUAUGGUAUUUAUUCGGUUUACAGCUGAAUUUAGUUCAUAAUCUCGAAUUCGGGAACUAGGGUUUGUGAAUUCUUGAUUAUCCGACAUCGGGGGAAAUGGGGUUUUCUCAAAAAUUACUGCCGUUCUUUGUGUUUUUAGUUUGAUAAUGAUUUCUAAAUGUGUUUUAUCUGAAACUGAAUGAAAGAUUUUGGUCUUAUGUGUUGUGGGUUGUUCUAAAAUUUUUAAAAAUUUUGAGGUAGGAUUUGUGAAUUUAUGAUUUGUAGGUAAGCAGAUAAAUGAGAUUUCUGUGUAAUCCCUGUAUUUGGUACUUUUAACCUUUUAAUCAGUCGAUUGAUCAACAGAUUGAGUUUUUGAGUCUUGUAUUUAAUAAACUGGUGUGUGAUUGUCUAUGGAGACGGUCCUUGUUGAUGUUAAGGAUGUUAAUGGGUGCAAAAAAAUGCCUUUAGAUAUGCUAGACUCCGAAAAGGUUGAGAAUCAUACUGAUGAUGGAGAAGAGAGUGAAUCAAAUUCUUUGUUGCCUCCCAGGAGAGGUGGGAUGUCAAGGCAAUGCGAAAAAACACGAAGAAAAGUGCAGUGGAAUGAUAAGAACGGGAAUAAGCUUGUGGAGGUGUUAGAAUUUGAACCGAGGUUAUGCAUACUGUGUUUGAUCUUCUAGGCUCUGCCUGCUGUUUUAGGGCCCUUCUCCUUGGAAGAUUCAUUGAGGCUCAUGCUCUGGAAUAAUUUGAAGCAAGUGACUCUGAAGAUGAGGAUUCAGAUUCUUGUAUCUGUACCAUAAUGUAGAUACCAUUUAGUGAACCAAAUUACAGGAUUGGUGGAUGAAUUAAUGAGGUUUUCUCUGCAAAACCUGAUUUUGGUGCAAAUUGGCCUUUUUCCACGCUUGCUGUUAUUAGGAUGGACCAAAGGUCCAGAAGACUAGCAAGGCAUUCUCUGACUUUCUCAUGUUUAUUGACAUCUUGGAGUCAUUUAAAUUCCUUAUCUGGGUUUUUGGAACUUCCGUAAAAGCAGCUGCAGAUAUUUGUGAUUAUAACAAACAUGCUUCCGUGAAAUGUUAUAUAUAUAGUACAACUGAGGUUUUUAUGUUUUUGCCACAUAUAUUGAUGUGUGGAUUGAAACACUGAAGAGAUAUGAUUACUGUGUAAACGAAAUAGUACGCACUUCAAUUCUGUUCA